AAGUCGUAACAAGGUUUCCGUAGGUGAACCUGCGGAAGGAUCAUUAUUGAAUGAAUGUAGAGUCGGUUGUAGCUGGCCUCCUUUGGGGAGCAUGUGCACACCUUCUCUUUCAUCCACACACCCCUGUGCACCUGUGAGACAGAGACUUGCUCCUUUAAUUAGGACAGCUUUCUGUCUGCUUCACAUAAAACCAUAUUAUUAAAUUUUGAAUGUAAUUGAUGUAACGCAUCUAAUACAAAGUUUCAACAACGGAUCUCUUGGCUCUC
rnacentral:misc_RNA from 1 species